AGGAUGGUGCACACAGAAGAAUGAGGUGGAAGACUGUGUGGGAGUGCAGCUGCGUGUGACUGUUCUGUGUUUCCCUCAGGACCCUGCUGGCUCAGAUAUUACUGCAGACUCUGCAGGUAGAAGUUAAAAAAAAAGGAGCAGCCCAUGCUGGGCUGUAUACGGUCCUAGCAUUUCCACUGUCAACUGGGCUUCAUUAGAUAAACAUAAAGUGUAUGUACAUAUCUGGCAUCAUCUGCGCCAACACAUCGGUCAAGAUGUGAACGAACAGUGUGGUUUCUGUAAUGUACACUGACC